AUUUGUCUCUCAAACUACCAGCUCUGUAUCAACCACGGUCUCCACGAACUUCCUGAGAGAUCUAGUGUUAAACUCGUGGAUGGCGACUUGUCUCUGAAACUUCCAGCUUUC